UACGUAGGGUGCGAGCGUUGUCCGGAAUUAUUGGGCGUAAAGGGCUCGUAGGCGGUUUGUCGCGUCUGCUGUGAAAACUCGGGCUCAACCUCGCGCCUGCAGUGGGUACGGGCAGACUAGAGUGCGGUAGGGAGAUUGGAAUUCCUGGUGUAGCGGUGGAAUGCGCAGAUAUCAGGAGGAACACCGAUGGCGAAGGCAGAUCUCUGGGCCGUUACUGACGCUGAGGAGCGAAAGCGUGGGGAGCGAACAGG
rnacentral:rRNA from 1 species